rnacentral:rRNA from 1 species
CUACGGGUGGCAGCAGUGGGGAAUAUUGGACAAUGGGGGAAACCCUGAUCCAGCAAUGCCGCGUGUGUGAAGAAGGCCUGCGGGUUGUAAAGCACUUUCGGUUGGGAGGACUGCUUCUAGCACUAAUAUUGUUGGAAGUUGACGUUACCUUCAGAAGAAGCACCGGCUAACUCCGUGCCAGCAGCCGCGGAAUACGGAGGGUGCAAGCGUUAAUCGGAAUUACUGGGCGUAAAGCGCGCGUAGGCGGCUAGAUCAGUCGGGUGUGAAAGCCCCGGGCUUAACCUGGGAACUGCAUCCGUACUGUCUAGCUUGAGUACAGGAGAGGAGAGUGGAAUUCCACAUGUAGCGGUGAAAUGCGUAGAUAUGUGGAGGAACACCAAUGGCAAAGGCAGCUCUCUGGCCUGAUACUGACGCUGAGGUGCGAAAGCGUGGGGAGCAAACAGGAUUAGAUACCCCAGUAGUC